GCCACCGUAGCUCAGUGGUAGAGCACACCCUUGGUAAGGGUGAGGUCAAGGGUUCGAGCCCCUUCGGUGGCU
rnacentral:tRNA from 1 species